UACGUAGGGAGCGAGCGUUAUCCGGAAUUAUUGGGUGUAAAGGGUGCGUAGACGGGAAUACAAGUUAGUUGUGAAAUCCCUCGGCUUAACUGAGGAACUGCAACUAAAACUAUAUUUCUUGAGUGCAGGAGAGGUAAGUGGAAUUCCUAGUGUAGCGGUGAAAUGCGUAGAUAUUAGGAGGAACACCAGUGGCGAAGGCGACUUACUGGACUGUAACUGACGUUGAGGCACGAAAGUGUGGGGAGCAAACAGG
rnacentral:rRNA from 1 species